AACUUUGCGCAGUGGCGAUUUCGCAACCAAUGAGGUACAACCGAGGUGCGAUAAUUGCUAGAUCAAAACUCAGAUUGCCUAGUCAGUACCGAUUUCCCGUUCGGUCGAAGAAAUCUUUCGGGUUGAACAUUUUCU